rnacentral:rRNA from 1 species
UACGUAGGGUGCAAGCGUUGUCCGGAAUUAUUGGGCGUAAAGAGCUCGUAGGCGGUGUGUCACGUCGGCCGUGAAAACCUGCAGCUUAACUGUGGGCGUGCGGUCGAUACGGGCAUCACUGGAGUUCGGCAGGGGAGACUGGAAUUCCUGGUGUAGCGGUGAAAUGCGCAGAUAUCAGGAGGAACACCGGUGGCGAAGGCGGGUCUCUGGGCCGUAACUGACGCUGAGGAGCGAAAGCGUGGGGAGCGAACAGG